CCUUUGUAUUUUCAUUUCCUGGAACUGGCUGUGUCAGUGUCACUUUUGUUGGAAACAAAGAAAGACAGGAGAUGCCUUUUCAUUCAGUAUGCAAAAGACCUACAGUACUGAAACAUUUUGUUGGCAAGUGUGAAGACUUCUGUGGUGGAACCUUUACUGUUUUCAACAUUCACAACCUUGUUCAUUUACCUGAGGAUGUAUCUUUAUUCAAGUGCUCUUUAAACGAUGUUUCAGCAUUUCCUGUAGUUCAGGUUGCCAAAAGACUGACUGAACUGGAGCAAGUUGGCAGAGCAACUGCUAACAAAAUUGGCAACUCUUAAUACUACAUUUCAGACAAAAUUAAGGAUGGCUGUUUUCUGUUGGAUGACACAUCUUGUGCAUUUGUGCACAGGAAGCAGGGAAAUGGUAUGUGAUGAGAUUAGGGAAGAGUACACCCAUGGUUUGUUUGUUUGAAGUCCCUUGUAGCUCAAAACUCCUCAAAAUUGUGUUUAUAAGUAAACGAAAUCUUCAAUGUUUUUCGAAAAGAAGAUGAUGGAUAUGCCGUGUUUCCAAUGCUACUUGGCUCUGAGGAAGUCUGAUUCAUGUAUCACAAGCAAGUACAUGAACGAUUAUGAACGACUAUCCAAUUCCGCCUGCAAGGCACAAGGCUGGUAGGAAAAAAAAAUGACUCAAGAGGUGGAUUCUUUAAUCUGUUCAACUCAAAGAUCAAGCACAUCUCAAGCAAAGCAGGGGAACAGUGAGUUAAUGUAUAUAAAUAUUUGUCGGCUUGUAGUUGAUUGCAUCCAGUGAUGUAAUAUUUAAUGCAUUGUAUUUAACAUUAAAGGUUUGUAUGUAAGA